GGGUUGUGAGGUUAAGCGACUAAGCGUACACGGUGGAUGCCCUGGCAGUCAGAGGCGAUGAAGGGCGUGCUAAUCUGCGAUAAGCGCCGGUAAGGUGAUAUGAACCGUUAUAACCGGCGAUACCCGAAUGGGGAAACCCAGUGUGAUUCGUCACACUAUCAUUAACUGAAUCCAUAGGUUAAUGAGGCGAACCGGGGGAACUGAAACAUCUAAGUACCCCGAGGAAAAGAAAUCAACCGAGAUUCCCCCAGUAGCGGCGAGCGAACGGGGAGGAGCCCAGAGCCUGAAUCAGCAUGUGUGUUAGUGGAAGCGUCUGGAAAGGCGCGCGAUACAGGGUGACAGCCCCGUACACAAAAGCGCAUGUGCUGUGAGCUCGAUGAGUAGGGCGGGACACGUGGUAUCCUGUCUGAAUAUGGGGGGACCAUCCUCCAAGGCUAAAUACUCCUGACUGACCGAUAGUGAACCAGUACCGUGAGGGAAAGGCGAAAAGAACCCCGGCGAGGGGAGUGAAAAAGAACCUGAAACCGUGUACGUACAAGCAGUGGGAGCACCUUUGGGUGUGACUGCGUACCUUUUGUAUAAUGGGUCAGCGACUUAUAUUCUGUAGCAAGGUUAACCGUAUAGGGGAGCCGGAGGGAAACCGAGUCUUAAUUGGGCGUUAAGUUGCAGGGUAUAGACCCGAAACCCGGUGAUCUAGCCAUGGGCAGGUUGAAGGUUGGGUAACACUAACUGGAGGACCGAACCGACUAAUGUUGAAAAAUUAGCGGAUGACCUGUGGCUGGGGGUGAAAGGCCAAUCAAACCGGGAGAUAGCUGGUUCUCCCCGAAAGCUAUUUAGGUAGCGCCUCGUGAAUUCAUCUCCGGGGGUAGAGCACUGUUUCGGCUAGGGGGCCAUCCCGGCUUACCAACCCGAUGCAAACUGCGAAUACCGGAGAAUGUUAUCACGGGAGACACACGGCGGGUGCUAACGUCCGUCGUGAAGAGGGAAACAACCCAGACCGCCAGCUAAGGUCCCAAAGUCAUGGUUAAGUGGGAAACGAUGUGGGAAGGCCCAGACAGCCAGGAUGUUGGCUUAGAAGCAGCCAUCAUUUAAAGAAAGCGUAAUAGCUCACUGGUCGAGUCGGCCUGCGCGGAAGAUGUAACGGGGCUAAACCAUGCACCGAAGCUGCGGCAGCGACGCUUAUGCGUUGUUGGGUAGGGGAGCGUUCUGUAAGCCUGCGAAGGUGGCCUGUGAGGGUUGCUGGAGGUAUCAGAAGUGCGAAUGCUGACAUAAGUAACGAUAAAGCGGGUGAAAAGCCCGCUCGCCGGAAGACCAAGGGUUCCUGUCCAACGUUAAUCGGGGCAGG
rnacentral:rRNA from 1 species